CUCCGCAGCCAGGACAUAGAAACAGCACUGGUGGGUGAUUGCAUUGAUCCAGAUUUGAAAGUUGUGUGGCAGUGGAGAAGCAAGAAGUAAUUUCUACACAAGCAUUGUAGAGUUCUACAGUGAGAAAGCAGCAUCUCUGACUGCCUGAACUAUUCUGGAAUUACCCCCUCACCACUUGGGAAACCUACCAGGACACCAGUGGCCAGUGGACUUCUAGACAUAUGCUUCUUGCCCAAGAGCCUCCAUGUGGUUCUAGAACCAGUCCCACACAAAGGAAUGAGUACAGUUGCCUAGGAGGCAGGCCACUGUGGAAGUCAUACUUGUGAAAGGAACUCAGCUGCCAAGUAGUGAAGACUUCAGGUGGAGGAUGAAUUGAGUCAGUUCCUGUAAGGGAGGGGAUUCGGUCUCGGGGGGCUGAACUUCUCUUGGAACUGAGGGCAAUAGGACAAGCCUUGCAUGCGGCAUUUAAAAAGUGAGCUCCCUCCUGCCCGGGGUCAAACAGGACCUCCGUCUUGUUCACCAGUGUUAUUUUAUAGCCUCCCCUCAACCCCUAGACAUGUACAACUAGUGAAGUAAUGGUCGGUGUGCCUGCCAGGAACACAGCUAAUUUCUGUUAAUUAGCCAUAGGCCAGCAAUUAGUAAAUUAGUAGAUUGUGCUUGAGUUGAACAUUUUCAAUCUAAUGGUUCAUGAAAUAGACUGCUGCUUAUUUUAUUUAGGUAUCAGUGACUCUUAGUGCGUCAAAAGGAUGUUUAAAACAGCAAAGGAAUAAUCAAAAGUACAAUUUAGCAUCUCAGUUCAGAAACAGAUUCAAACUGUAUAAUGACAGCAGCCCUUGUUGAAAUCAGUGCAGUAACAGAUUGACAGUGGAAGCACCGGAACAGCAUAGUGUCAUUCCUGAUGGGUUCCAGCCGUGGCACCUGGACUCCAAGCAGGUGUGCUGUGGUGUGGCCCAGGAAGCGGAAGAACUGAGCAUUCUGAUAGUCCAGACCUUGGCAAAGUAAUAGUCGCAGAGGAAGUGCUUUUUGAGAAAGAGCAGAAGUGAAGUGCACCUAGGAAGCUAGUUCAGUGUUGGAGACCUAAAUGCAAAUGGGAAAGAAAUGCAUCUUUAGAGCCAGUGCAGUCGGAGCCUUUCAUGUCAAGUCACGAACAUUUUCAACCAGGGCAGCAACCUCCCCUGCAUUUUUGUUCAUCUGAUUUUCCAUUUCAGUUCUCAUUCUCUUUACCCAGCCCAGCUGUGGGACUGCAUGCUAGUUAUCUCACGGUGGUGAUACCAUCUGCUGAAAAGGCUGGCAGCCGAGCCAUCCCCAUCUUUUUCACCUCUACCUGCCCUGGUCCGGAAAAGAGAAGGCAGUGUGCUUCCCCCAUGCCCUGCUCAGGGACUGACUCUGCUUCACAGAUUGAAGCAGAAACUGAGAACUUGGCCAGUUCUCUAAGCCAGAGCCUUUGCCUGUGGUGUUCAGUACUGAAGUUUGGGGACUCAGCCUAUGUCUACACAUGGCCUGGGUGGGGUGGGCCAGGUGACAUGGUCAAUCUAAUGAAAGAAGUUGACUAAACUACUGUCAUAUGCAGUUCCAGGCAUGUGUGAUUCAUGGUCUUGGGUCGGAUAUAAGUGAACAAGUCAAUUUCUUGGCCACUGCUUUUACCUCUAUCGCUGGGCACAAAUGAAAGCUGUUUGGUCACCAGAGGGUGAAGGUGUAGAUGAUGUUGACUGAUUCCAUCCUCAACCCUGGAAAAAGAGCUGAAAGAAUAUGGUUUACAUAUAAAUCAGCUGUACCAUCUUUCUGUAGAAACAACGGCAUGAUCUUUCUUCACAAUCGUACUUGUAUUAAAGUAUUUUUAAACUUCAGAAUAGGAAUGAGGAACCUAGGCUGACACUGGUGAAUUGUUCCCAGCUGGCUGGCUAUAUGGAAGAGAAUGGGCAGGGCACACUGUCCCUAGUCCAGUUUCCCCCAAUGAAGUUCUGAAGUUUGCAUAAGAAUAGUUGAGGAUGAUAGUUAAACACCUUUUUCUUUUAUGUAUAUUAAAAUCUUAAUGCUUUUGACAACUGUGAGGGAUGUUAUGAAGAGAGGAAACUAUUUACUAUCUCCUCAAAAGUUAGCAGGGACAGGGAGUGAAUCUUGAUUUGACCAGAGAAAAAAGGUGGUUGGAGUUUUCCACUUUUGAACCGUUGAUUUGAUCUCAAGGGAACACAGCCUUACAGUUGUACAGCUGGGCGCUGAAAUUAAUAGCAAGAAGUCAAUCACAUUUUUACCCUUUGACUCUGAUUUUUUUUUGCUUACCAUAUUUUGUUAUGAUCUGGGUUCCUUGGAUAUUUUUCCUGUUAUCAUGAGCUUGAAAAGAAUGUGGUAAGCUUCCACCCAUUUGUAUUAAUGUAGGAGAGCAUUAAGACAGCUACAAGACAAGCAUAGAUAAGCCAGAAGUCAAAGUGAGAAAGUCAGAGUGUUCCAACCAAAGGAGCUGAAGAAACAACGGAGGCCCAGAGAGGGAAGGUGGCAGCUCUCAGAUUCCCAUUCCUGUCUUCUUUCCAGAAUAUGGUACAUGACUUUACUGCCACAUACUCUCCUUUCUAAUUAUGAUUUGUAAAGGUUAUUGGUUGGUAUUCCUGGGGCAUGAAACCAAUUAGGUAGGUGUUUAAGAAUGGACCCAGAGCCAUUCAAUGGUAGGGAAAGCUAGACCCAAACUAAAGACUCACGUUGAACGAGCAGAUCUGAAGUUGACACUUGCUUGCAUUGUUAAGUGUUGGCGUUCUCCUGGGUUCUGCCCUUUGCCCUCUUUUCCUCUGGUAACAGUAGCUCCGUGGUCAGGGUUGGUCAGGCAAAUAUAAGACUAACUCUGAACUGAAAAGGUACAACUGCAGUUCUUAUGAUUUCCGGCCUGUCUCAGAGGAUAAUGGAUCGCUUCUUCAGUUCAACACCAACCUUUUCACCAGUCCAUCUCUUAAUUUUUUGCACUUCCCUUCUACCCUGCCACACCUGUAACCACAACCAAACCUCUAUUUUGUUUUAAUAAAAACAAACAAAAAUCUUUUCAACCUGUGUUCCCCCUCAGGUAUUCCCUUGUCAUCCAAGCCUCUUGAAAGAAUGGUCCAUACCUGAUCUAAGCCUUCGUUUUCAUUCACCCCAAUGCCAAACUCAGUGGACACCUUCUAGUCUUUAUUUUAAGGGAUCUUGCUUUGCAGUGUUUAACACUGUUUAACCAUUCACCUGCUCGAAACUCUUUCUUCCCUGGC